rnacentral:rRNA from 1 species
CCUACGGGAGGCAGCAGUGCGGAAUCUUGGUCAAUGGCCGGGAGGCUGAACCAGCCAAGUCUCGUUAGGGAAGACUGCCCUACGGGUUGUAAACCUCUUUUGUCAGGGAGCAAGGUGCAGGUCGGGACCUGCUGUGAGAGUACCUGAAGAAAAAGCAUCGGCUAACUCCGUGCCAGCGGCCGCGGUAAUACGGAGGAUGCGAGCGUUAUCCGGAUUUAUGGGGUUUAAAGGGUGCGCAGGGGGAGUAAUAAGUCAGCGGUAACAUUGCGGGGCUAAACCCCGCUGCGCCGUUGAAACUGUGUCCCUUGAGUGCGCGAAGGGUAGGCGGAAUGCGUGGUGUAGCGGUGAAAUGCAUAGAUAUCACGCAGAACUCCGAUCGCGAAGGUAGCCUACCGGCGCGCAACUGACGCUCAUGCACGAAAGCGUGGGUAUCGAACAGGAUUAGAUACCCGAGUAGUC